rnacentral:rRNA from 1 species
GGCGUAACACGUGUGCAACCUGCCUUUAUCUGGGGGAUAGCCUUUCGAAGAAGAUUAAUACUCCAUAAUAUAUUGAACGGCAUCGUUUAAUAUUGAAAGCUCCGGCGGAUAGAGAUGGGCACGCGCAAGAUUAGCUAGUUGGUGAGGUAACGGCUCACCAAGGCGAUGAUCUUUAGGGGGCCUGAGAGGGUGAUCCCCCACACUGGUACUGAGACACGGACCAG